UCGAGCGGAUGACGGGAGCUUGCUCCUUGAUUCAGCGGCGGACGGGUGAGUAAUGCCUAGGAAUCUGCCUGGUAGUGGGGGACAACGUUUCGAAAGGAACGCUAAUACCGCAUACGUCCUACGGGAGAAAGUGGGGGAUCUUCGGACCUCACGCUAUCAGAUGAGCCUAGGUCGGAUUAGCUAGUUGGUGAGGUAAUGGCUCACCAAGGCGACGAUCCGUAACUGGUCUGAGAGGAUGAUCAGUCACACUGGAACUGAGACACGGUCCAGACUCCUACGGGAGGCAGCAGUGGGGAAUAUUGGACAAUGGGCGAAAGCCUGAUCCAGCCAUGCCGCGUGUGUGAAGAAGGUCUUCGGAUUGUAAAGCACUUUAAGUUGGGAGGAAGGGCAGUAAGUUAAUACCUUGCUGUUUUGACGUUACCGACAGAAUAAGCACCGGCUAACUCUGUGCCAGCAGCCGCGGUAAUACAGAGGGUGCAAGCGUUAAUCGGAAUUACUGGGCGUAAAGCGCGCGUAGGUGGUUCGUUAAGUUGGAUGUGAAAGCCCCGGGCUCAACCUGGGAACUGCAUCCAAAACUGGCGAGCUAGAGUACGG
rnacentral:rRNA from 1 species